GAUGAACGCUGGCGGCGUGCCUAAUACAUGCAAGUCGAGCGAACAGAUGAGGAGCUUGCUCCUCUGACGUUAGCGGCGGACGGGUGAGUAACACGUGGAUAACCUACCUAUAAGACUGGGAUAACUUCGGGAAACCGGAGCUAAUACCGGAUAAUAUAUUGAACCGCAUGGUUCAAUAGUGAAAGACGGUUUUGCUGUCACUUAUAGAUGGAUCCGCGCCGCAUUAGCUAGUUGGUAAGGUAACGGCUUACCAAGGCAACGAUGCGUAGCCGACCUGAGAGGAUGAUCAGCCACACUGGAACUGAGACACGGUCCAGACUCCUACGGGAGGCAGCAGUAGGGAAUAUUCCGCAAUGGGCGAAAGCCUGACGGAGCAACACCGCGUGAGUGAUGAAGGUCUUCGGAUCGUAAAACUCUGUUAUUAGGGAAGAACAAAUGUGUAAGUAAAUAUGCACGUCUUGACGGUACCUAAUCAGAAAGCCACGGCUAACUACGUG
rnacentral:rRNA from 1 species